UACGUAGGGGGCAAGCGUUGUCCGGAUUUAUUGGGCGUAAAGAGCGUGUAGGCGGUUUGGUAGGUCCGCUGUGAAAACUCGAGGCUCAACCUCGAGACGCCGGUGGAAACCAUCAGACUAGAGUCCGGAAGAGGAGAGUGGAAUUCCUGGUGUAGCGGUGAAAUGCGUAGAUAUCAGGAGGAACACCUGUGGCGAAAGCGGCGCACUGGACCACAACUGACGCUGAGGCGCGAAAGCUAGGGGAGCAAACAGG
rnacentral:rRNA from 1 species